rnacentral:tRNA from 3 species
GCCCGCCUAGCUCAAUCGGAUAGAGCGUCAGACUCUUAAUCUGAAGGCUGUGGGUUCGACCCCCACGGUGGGCU